CCGGCCAGGGACCGGUCCACUACUCCCGGUUCCUUUUUCUCUCGACGUCACCCGUCGCCUGCCACGUUUCAGUGCUCUAAUCUCGUCGACGACGCCUACUCACGAUCCCUGUCACGCCGAGGUCCCGCCACCGCCGCCGUUUCCGAAGGAAUCUCUCUCCCUCUCUUUUAAGCUACUAGCUCGUGGUUUCAUCUGUUGCUACGGCAAGUUACUCAGGGAAUGGCACCAUAGGGUUGCCAAAGGUAUGGUCGACCAAAAAUUUGGUUGUACAGAGACAAAGUUACCAAUGACCCAAUGGGUGAUGCAACAAUUACAUACAAGGAUCCUCAUGCUGUUGUUGAAUGGUUCUACAACAAGGAUUUUCAUGGAACCCCCAUUGAAGUACAUAUAGCAGAGUCAAAAACCAAAGAUUUGAAUGAUCAUUCAUAUGCUCAACAGAAUGGCUUUGAAGCAAAUUCAAGCAUGGUACCUGGGGUUUAUGAUGAUGUGGAUCGUGGAGGAGGUAGAGGUAGAGGUCGUGGUGAUGCUUCAGGAUGGUCAUGGCAGAAAGAUGGAGACUGGAUGUGUCCAAAUACAAGGUCUUUGGUUUGACAAUGAUGUUCGAAUGUGAACUUUGCAUUCUGAGGUGUUUGAAAUUGGUGUGGGACAGCUCGACCUGCUGGUGCUGGUGGAACAGGUGCUGUUGGUGGUAGAGGGAGGGGCCAUGGUGGUGGUGAUACUGGGGAACGUGCCUGUCAUGUUGGUGGUUCUAUGGGGCUCUUUGGUUCAAAUGACUGGCCCUGUCCAAUGUGUGGGAACAUUAACUGGGCAAAGUGCAUGAAGUGCAAUAUAUGUAACACCAACAAGUCAGGUCACAGUGAGUGUGGUGUGAGAGGAGGCUGUGCUGGUGGAUACAAGGAACUUGAUGAAGAAGAGAUAGAGGAAACAAGGCGAUGACGGAGAGAAGCUGAUGAGGAUGAUGGGGAAAUAUAUGAUGAAUUUGGCAACCUUAAGAAGAAAUUCCAUGCAAAAACACAACAGGCUGAAUCUGGACAGAUGGUUCCUGGUUCUGGACGUGCUGGAUGGGAGGUUGAUGAGAUAGUUAUGACUGGGAGACAUGGUAUGGAUAAAAGCAGAGAUAGCAACA